rnacentral:rRNA from 1 species
GAUGAACGCUGGCGGCGUGCCUAAUACAUGCAAGUCGAGCGAAUGGAUUAAGAGCUUGCUCUUAUGAAGUUAGCGGCGGACGGGUGAGUAACACGUGGGUAACCUGCCCAUAAGACUGGGAUAACUCCGGGAAACCGGGGCUAAUACCGGAUAACAUUUUGAACCGCAUGGUUCGAAAUUGAAAGGCGGCUUCGGCUGUCACUUAUGGAUGGACCCGCGUCGCAUUAGCUAGUUGGGGAGGUAACGGCUCACCAAGGCAACGAUGCGUAGCCGAGCUGAGGGGGUGAUCGGCCCCACUGGGACUGAGACACGGCCCAGACUCCUACGGGAGGCAGCAGUAGGGAAUCUUCCGCAAUGGACGAAAGUCUGACGGAGCAACGCCGCGUGAGUGAUGAAGGCUUUCGGGUCGUAAAACUCUGUUGUUAGGGAAGAACAAGUGCUAGUUGAAUAAGCUGGCACCUUGACGGUACCUAACCAGAAAGCCACGGCUAACUACGUGCCAGCAGCCGCCGUAA